rnacentral:rRNA from 1 species
UACGGGGGGGUGCGAGCGUUGUCCGGAAUCACUGGGCGUAAAGGGCGCGUAGGUGGUUUGAUAAGGGUGUGGUGAAAAGCCCGGGGCUCAACCCCGGGUCUGCCGUGCCGACUGUCAAACUCGAGGGCUGUAGAGGCAGACGGAAUUCCGGGUGUAGCGGUGGAAUGCGUAGAGAUCCGGAGGAAGACCGGUGGCGAAGGCGGUCUGCUGGGCAGUUUCUGACACUGAUGCGCGACAGCGUGGGGAGCAAACAGG